rnacentral:rRNA from 1 species
GAUGAACGCUGGCGGCGUGCCUAAUACAUGCAAGUCGAGCGAACGGACGAGAAGCUUGCUUCUCUGAUGUUAGCGGCGGACGUGUGAGUAACACGUGGAUAACCUACCUAUAAGACUGGGAUAACUUCGGGAAACCGGAGCUAAUACCGGAUGAUAUUUUGAACCGCAUGGUUCAAAAGUGAAAGACGGUCUUGCUGUCACGUAUAGAUGGAUCCGCGCUGCAUUAGCUAGUUGGUAAGGUAACGGCUUACCAAGGCAACGAUGCAUAGCCGACCUGAGAGGGUGAUCGGCCACACUGGAACUGAGACACGGUCCAGACUCCUACGGGAGGCAGCAGUAGGGAAUCUUCCGCAAUGGGCGAAAGCCUGACGGAGCAACGCCGCGUGAGUGAUGAAGGUCUUCGGAUCGUAAAACUCUGUUAUUAGGGAAGAACAUAUGUGUAAGUAACUGUGCACAGCUUGACGGUACCUAAUCAGAAAGCCACGGCUAACUACGUG